rnacentral:rRNA from 1 species
AUCCGGAUCGAGGACAGUGUAUGGUGGGCAGUUUGACUGGGGCGGUCUCCUCCUAAAGAGUAACGGAGGAGUACGAAGGUGCGCUCAGACCGGUCGGAAAUCGGUCGUAGAGUAUAAAGGCAAAAGCGCGCUUGACUGCGAGACAGACACGUCGAGCAGGUACGAAAGUAGGUCUUAGUGAUCCGGUGGUUCUGUAUGGAAGGGCCAUCGCUCAACGGAUAAAAGGUACUCCGGGGAUAACAGGCUGAUACCGCCCAAGAGUUCAUAUCGACGGCGGUGUUUGGCACCUCGAUGUCGGCUCAUCACAUCCUGGGGCUGAAGCCGGUCCCAAGGGUAUGGCUGUUCGCCAUUUAAAGUGGUACGCGAGCUGGGUUUAGAACGUCGUGAGACAGUUCGGUCCCUAUCUGCCGUGGACGUUUGAGAUUUGAGAGGGGCUGCUCCUAGUACGAGAGGACCGGAGUGGACGAACCUCUGGUGUUCCGGUUGUCACGCCAGUGGCAUUGCCGGGUAGCUACGUUCGGAAGAGAUAACCGCUGAAAGCAUCUAAGCGGGAAACUUGCCUCAAGAUGAGAUCUCACUGGAGCCUUGAGCUUCCUGAAGGGCCGUCGAAGACUACGACGUUGAUAGGUCGGGUGUGUAAGCGCUGUGAGGCGUUGAGCUAACCGAUACUAAUUGCCCGUGAGGCUUGACCAU